rnacentral:rRNA from 1 species
AUGGCGGAAACAUACAACACCGACGUCGUUAUGGACGACGGCACCGUGAUCCGCACCACCGUGACGUCCUCGUCCCUCGACGUCCAGCGCUUCAUCGAGAAGGUGCAGGGGUCCCCGAUCCGCGUCGCCGGCCUCGACGCCGAGUGGCGCCCCACCCGCACUAGACGCGCCGAGCAGUACCCAAUCGCCGUCCUCCAGCUCUGCGUCGACCGCCGCUGCCUCGUGUACCAGAUCAUCCACGGCACCGGCAUCCCCAUCUCGCUGUGCAGCUUCCUCUACCUCUCCGGCUUCACCUUCGUCGGCGUCGGGAUCGCCGACGACGCGAAACGCCUGCGUGCUGAGUACAGCCUCGAGGUGUCCAACGCGGUCGACCUGAGGGAGAUGGCGGCUUACUCACCGCACCGGCCGCGACCGGAGCUGCGGCAGGCCGGGCUGAAAGACAUAGCGCUUGCGGUGAUGGGGGUGCGCAUCGCGAAGUCACGGGAGGUGACGAGCAACUGGGACGCGCCAUUGCUGUCGAUGGAGCAGGUCGAGUAUGCCAGCAUCAACGCCUACGUCUCCUUCGAAAUCGGUCGCCUGCUGCUCACUGGUAAUUAG